ACCGAACUGUUUCACCUCCUUCAGAGCUUGGUCUACUUUUUCCUCCCUGCUGUUUCCGCAUCAGGUGACCUGAGCCCUGGAGGGAUCCCACCGGAGACCCGCUGCCUGCCGAGCGAGAGCCCCCCGCCAUCGAUGGCUGAGAUGGCGCCUGCAGGUCAAACGCCUGAGGCGGUCAGCGAGGACCCAGACAGCACCGAGGUGUUCUACACGGUGGAGAGGGACGAAAGCGGAGAAGUCGUCUGCCUCUGCUCCAACAUGGGGGAGGCCUACAACAAAAUCGCUGCCCUGGCUGAAUAUUUGCUGAAGGACCAGCAAGAUGCCCCGGUGGACGAGCAUUUUG